GUGCCAGCCGCCGCGGUAACACCGGCAGCCCGAGUGAUGGCCGAUAUUAUUGGGCCUAAAGCGUCCGUAGCUGGCCGCGCAAGUCCGUCGGGAAAUCCACUCGCUUAACGAGUGGGCGUCCGGCGGAAACUGUGCGGCUUGGGACCGGAAGAUCCGAGGGGUACGUCUGGGGUAGGAGUGAAAUCCCGUAAUCCUGGACGGACCACCGAUGGCGAAAGCACCUCGGAAGGACGGAUCCGACAGUGAGGGACGAAAGCUAGGGUCUCGAACCGGAUUAGAAACCCCUGUAGUCC
rnacentral:rRNA from 1 species